CACUCUUAUCACUUACACAACUA
rnacentral:siRNA from 1 species